rnacentral:lncRNA from 1 species
AACCAUCCUUGUUCCCAUCUUCAACAUUCUGCCUCCUCAUCAAUUCUUGAACAAUCGGUGAAGUGCCGACACACAUCUCUGUCGAAAACUCCUCUAUCGUAAGUUGACGCCCAGUUCCCACUUCCUUAAUCCUUUCCCACAUCCCAUCCUCCUCCCACUUCCUUAAUCUUUUCCCACAUCCCAUCCUCCCUCAACUCGUUCACCACAAACUCCUUCCCGUUAUCCAAAUUCUUUAUCAUACACACUGCGUUA